GUCGGUGAGGCGGAGCAAGAGCACACACGUUGGGACCCGAAAGAUGGUGAACUAUGCCCGGGCAGGACGAAGCCAGAGGAAACUCUGGUGGAGGUCCGCAGCGAUUCUGACGUGCAAAUCGAUCGUCGGACCUGGGUAUAGGGGCGAAAGACUAAUCGAACCGUCUAGUAGCUGGUUCCCUCCGAAGUUUCCCUCAGGAUAGCUGGCGCUCGGGAAACGAAAAGUCUCAUCCGGUAAAGCGAAUGAUUAGAGGCAUUGGGGCCGAAACGACCUCAACCUAUUCUCAAACUUUCAAUGGGUGAGAUGUCCGGCUUGCUUAACCUCACGCGAAGCUCGGACAUCGGAUGCGAGUGCCCAAUGGGCCGCUUUUGGUAAGCAGAACGUGGCGCUGUGGGAUGAACCAAAAGCCGGGUUACGGCGCCCGAUGCGGACGCUCAUUAGACCCCAUGAAAGGUGUUGGUUGCUAUUGACAGCAGGACGGUGGCCAUGGAAGUCGGAAUCCGCUAAGGAGUGUGUAGCAACUCACCUGCCGAAGCAACUAGCCCUGAAAAUGGAUGGCGCUCCAGCGUCGAGCCUAACCCCGGCCGUCGGAAGGCAGGAAACUUUUUUUUGUUUUCCUUCACGGGAAAGGAACGAAAAGAGAGCGACGCCCCGACGAGUAGGAGGGUCGCGGCGGUGUGCGUUGAAGGUGUCGGGCGCGAGCCCGCCUGGAGCCGCCGCCGGUGCAGAUCUUGGUGGUAGUAGCAAAUACUCGAGUGAGAACCUUGAGGACUGAAGUGGAGAAGGGUUCCAUGUGAACAGCAGUUGAACAUGGGUCAGUCGGCCCUAAGGAAUAGGGGAAACCCGUUCCGAAGCGUGUCGUUUUUUUAUUAUUAAAAUCAUUUAAACGGCAACAGACCGAAAGGGAAUCGGGUUAAUAUUCCCGAACCCGGAUGCGGAGAUCGAUCUCCCCUCCUUAACCGGAGGGAGGUCUGAAGCGGUAACGCGCAACGAACUCGGAGAUGCCGGCGGGGGCCCUGGGAAGAGUUUUCUUUUCUUUGUAAAGGACGGACUCCCUGGAAUCGGCUCGACCGGAGAGAGGGACGUUGUUCCUGUAAAGCACCGCGGCUCUUGCGGUGUCCAGUGAGCUCCCGCUGGCCCUUGAAAAUCCCAGCAAGGAAAAAA
rnacentral:rRNA from 1 species